rnacentral:tRNA from 1 species
GAAGGUAUAGCUCAAGUGGUAGAGCACAUGCUUAGCAUGCACAAGGUCCUGGGUUCUAAUCCCCAGUCCCUCCU